rnacentral:rRNA from 1 species
AAAGCGAGCGCAGGCGGUUGCUUAGGUCUGAUGUGAAAGCCUUCGGCUUAACCGAAGAAGUGCAUCGGAAACCGGGCAACUUGAGUGCAGAAGAGGACAGUGGAACUCCAUGUGUAGCGGUGGAAUGCGUAGAUAUAUGGAAGAACACCAGUGGCGAAGGCGGCUGUCUGGUCUGCAACUGACGCUGAGGCUCGAAAGCAUGGGUAGCGAACAGGAUUAGAUACCCUGGUAGUCCAUGCCGUAAACGAUGAGUGCUAGGUGUUGGAGGGUUUCCGCCCUUCAGUGCCGGAGCUAACGCAUUAAGCACUCCGCCUGGGGAGUACGACCGCAAGGUUGAAACUCAAAGGAAUUGACGGGGGCCCGCACAAGCGGUGGAGCAUGUGGUUUAAUUCGAAGCUACGCGAAGAACCUUACCAGGUCUUGACAUCUUGCGCUAACCUUAGAGAUAAGGCGUUCCCUUCGGGGACGCAAUGACAGGUGGUGCAUGGUCGUCGUCAGCUCGUGUCGUGAGAUGUUGGGUUAAGUCCCGCAACGAGCGCAACCCUUGUUACUAGUUGCCAGCAUUAAGUUGGGCACUCUAGUGAGACUGCCGGUGACAAACCGGAGGAAGGUGGGGACGACGUCAGAUCAUCAUGCCCCUUAUGACCUGGGCUACACACGUGCUACAAUGGACGGUACAACGAGUCGCAAGCUCGCGAGAGUAAGCUAA